rnacentral:lncRNA from 1 species
GGGAGGGAAUCAUAAUGCACUGUGGGUAAAAUAUGUGACUGUGUGUCUGAAAUGUCCCUCUAUCUGUCUGUAGUUUAAGUCUCCCAUUUGGUCCCCUAGGGGAGUGUCCACCAGGUGGGAGACCUGCAUAAAUACGGGCAGGUAGCCCACAGUAAAACCAGAUUCUGUUUGACCCUCAAUGCGGAGCUUCUGUCUCGUUAUUGGGGGGGGAUUUCUUCUUCACGUUUAGAGACUGCUGGAUGGAACGAAAGCCGCUUGGGGAAUAUUGCUGUUCGACGAUUACCAGCAGUUCGUGUAUUGCCGUUCGGGAGUUUGGAGCCGUUCACGGAGCUCGGUCGGGAGAUUGCCGCUUCCCCUGCAUUUGGUUCGUGUGUUACAGAUUAAGCGAACGGAGACUGUACUGCAGCCGGGGAAGGUAUACUAAACGGCGGUUUGGCUUAAAGACACUGGAGGUGUCUUAACAGUACAUGUCAGUAGU